GGGGAAUAUUGGACAAUGGGCGAAAGCCUGAUCCAGCCAUGCCGCGUGAGUGAUGAAGGCCUUAGGGUUGUAAAGCUCUUUCAGUGGGGAAGAUAAUGACGGUACCCACAGAAGAAGCCCCGGCUAACUUCGUGCCAGCAGCCGCGGUAAUACGAAGGGGGCUAGCGUUGUUCGGAUUUACUGGGCGUAAAGCGCACGUAGGCGGAUCGUUAAGUCGGGGGUGAAAUCCUGGAGCUCAACUCCAGAACUGCCUUCGAUACUGGCGAUCUUGAGUCCGAGAGAGGUGAGUGGAACUCCUAGUGUAGAGGUGGAAUUCGUAGAUAUUAGAAAGAACACCAGUGGCGAAGGCGGCUCACUGGCUCGGGACUGACGCUGAGGUGCGAAAGCGUGGGGAGCAAAC
rnacentral:rRNA from 1 species